rnacentral:rRNA from 1 species
GACGAACGCUGGCGGCGUGCCUAAUACAUGCAAGUAGAACGCACAGUUUAUACCGUAGCUUGCUACACCAUAGACUGUGAGUUGCGAACGGGUGAGUAACGCGUAGGUAACCUGCCUGGUAGCGGGGGAUAACUAUUGGAAACGAUAGCUAAUACCGCAUAAUAUUGAUUAUUGCAUGAUAAUUGAUUGAAAGAUGCUAUUGCAUCACUACCAGAUGGACCUGCGUUGUAUUAGCUAGUAGGUGAGGUAACGGCUCACCUAGGCGACGAUACAUAGCCGACCUGAGAGGGUGAUCGGCCACACUGGGACUGAGACACGGCCCAGACUCCUACGGGAGGCAGCAGUAGGGAAUCUUCGGCAAUAGACGAAAGUCUGACCGAGCAACGCCGCGUGAGUGAAGAAGGUUUUCGGAUCGUAAAGCUCUGUUGUAAGAGAAGAACGGGUGUGAGAGUGGAAAGUUCACACUGUGACGGUAUCUUACCAGAAAGGGGCGGCUAACUACGUG